ACUCCUACGGGAGGCAGCAGUGAAGAAUUUUGCGCAAUGGGCGAAACCCUGACGCAGCAACGCCGCGUGAGUGAUGAAGGCUUCCGGGUCGUAAAGCUCUGUCAAGUGGGAAGAACCUGUUUGCUACCAACACCUUCGCACCUCGACGGUACCACUGAAGGAAGCACCGGCUAACUCCGUGCCAGCAGCCGCGGUAAUACGGGGGGUGCAAGCGUUAUUCGGAAUCAUUGGGCGUAAAGAGCACGUAGGCGGCCUGGUAAGUCAGAUGUGAAAGCCCGGGGCUUAACCCCGGAAGUGCAUUUGAUACUGUCAGGCUUGAGUAUGGGAGAGGGAAGUGGAAUUCCUGGUGUAGAGGUGAAAUUCGUAGAUAUCAGGAGGAACACCGGUGGCGAAGGCGACUUCCUGGACCAAUACUGACACUGAGGUGCGAAGGCGUGGGGAGCAAACAGGAUUAGAUACCCUUGUAGUCCACGCAGUAAACGUUGAUCACUAGGUGUAGCGGGUAUUGACCCCUGCUGUGCCGCAGUUAACGCAUUAAGUGAUCCGCCUGGGGAGUACGGUCGCAAGAUUAAAACUCAAAGGAAUUGACGG
rnacentral:rRNA from 1 species